rnacentral:tRNA from 1 species
GGGGUUGUAGAUCAGUGGUAGAGCGCUUGCCUAGCACGCAUGAGGUACUGGGUUCAAUCCUCAGCACCA